UGCAGGGAGCAACCAAAGCAAAAAAGAGUGAACCGGCAGCCGCUACCUGCGCGCGGCCGGUGAAU
rfam:Shigella dysenteriae Sd197, complete genome.